UCCUGGGUAGGAUCUGAGGAGUGGAAUCUCAUUCCCCAGCUCCUGAGCAGGA
rfam:Macaca mulatta chromosome 10, whole genome shotgun sequence.